GAAAGCUCUAGCAAAAGUGCAGGAGAAUCUUAGACCAGCAGACCUUCCAGUUGAUCUGGAAACCAUAAGUGAUGAGGAGAGAUCUUUACUACGUAAGAUUGGUCUGAGUAUGAAGCCCUUCCUGCUUAUCGGAGAAGUCAUCUACGAUGGAGUUAAAGCCUCACAAUAUAAAAUUCAAGAUAAGACUUGAUAAAGGGACAUCAUUGCCACCCCCCGAGUUUGGAAAGGGUAAAACUGUGGAGGUCAGCAGUGAUGAAAAAGUUUAUGAGGGUUCUUGGUUUUCUGCAAUUGUCAUCAACUAUAUAGGAAAUGACAAGUAUCUGGUCGAAUACCUAACCUUGAAAACAGAUGACGAAACUUAACCUUUGAGGGAAGAAAAAUAUUCACGGUAUAUCAGGCCCUACCCUCCUCAUCUUCCAGCCAGGCGUUUCAAGCCUCAGUAUGUUGGUACAAUUACGGAUGGUGGGUCGGUGUAAUUUCCAAAGUUCUAAAAGGCUCUCAGUAUGUUGUCCACUUCAGCACAUCCAAUGAAGAACUAAUUUUCAAUGAGUCUAAUCUGAGGCUUCACCAGGACUGGAAUGACGGCAAGUGGGUCAUUGCUUCCCGGAAUAUUAUCUUCAUUCCAAAGCAUUACUCAAGGAUUACCUCAAAAGGACUUGCAGAGCUGUCAUGCCUCAGCAUUCAGGCCUGAUUGUGUUGAACAUUUUUUUUUUUUAAUAUUCUAUAUCAAUGUCAAUCUUUAUGAAUUGUUGCCUAGACCUCUCAUUUAACCUGAGCAGCCUCCCUGCCUUCAAUUCCUGAUUGGGGUAUGGUUGCUGGACUAGGAUACAAGUUCCAAAUUAGUGGAAAAGAGUUUUUGGUGCAUUGAAAGCCAAAGGCUUGUCAUGAAUUGGUGGAGAUCCAUGCUUACUCUAUACUCAAAACAUAGAGAAAUUUAAUGAAUUUAUUAGUUGCUUUUUACUAGAUAAGCACUAAGUUAUCCCUGCUGACAUGUUUACAGGGGCUCCAUUUCCGAGCAAUUUCAAAGAUGUUGUCAAAACCAUUUUCAAGUGCUUGUUCCGUGUCUACGCCCAUAUCUACCAUUCACAUUUUCAGAAAAUCGUGAACUUGAAGGAAGAAGUUCAUCUAAAUACUUGCUUCAAACAUUUCGUUCUCUUCACAUGGGAAUUUCGGUUGAUUAACAAAGAGGAGCUUGCGCCGCUUAAUGAACUCGUUC